UCUGUAAGCUUGUAUUUCUUCAUAAUGCACAGGGAAUAUUCUGUCUUAAUAAGUCUGUUUGCCAAGCAUCAGUCUAGAAGGAGCUCCUUCAUCCCUUGGCAGAGCACUGAAUGUGAAAAUGAGAUCUUCCAUCCUCACCUGAAGCUGACUUUGGCUUUUUAAUGGGUAAAUAACUACUUUCUGGGGGUAGUGGAGGAAAAACGUAAAGGUUCACACCCUUCUGCAAUUACAGCAGGUGAGAAAUGUGGUGCUUUAUUUUCUUCAUGCCCAUUCUGGCCUUUUGCGGGUUUGCUGUGGUGCUGUUGAAUGUAAAGGCAGCAACCUCUGCUAUCCUUUAUUGGGCAUUCAGGUUAUAAUCCACACUCACUUCCCGGACAGCAGAGGUUUGAGGGGUUUUUUGUCCUUUUCCCAUUCUCCCUGUCUCCAUGUGGUCUUGCAGCGGCUGUCCUCAGCUGGCAGAGCCCGCAGCCUGCAUCACUCCAUUGCAGACUAACCUCAGCCUUUGUGCCAAAAUGCAGGAAGCAGGAGGAAAAACAAGUGUCUGAUAAUUUUGCUGCACUCACGGGCCACAGGUGCAUCAGUGGGACCAAGCUGCCAGGCCCAGGCCCCAAAAUGUGUUUUCUAAAGAUGCCUCAGGCUUCCCCAAGGAAGAGAUGUGGGGUUUCAAAAGCAGUGCCAGAGAAUGAUUUGCCAGAAAAGAGCCUAUAAGGAGAUUAAUGUAGUGUUGACAAAGUCAGCCAAGGUAUUUCCAUUUACCACAACCUGGAAGGAAAGGCCCAGUCUCCUGCAGCACAGGCACAAGGAGCACAUACAGACAUCAGCUGCAGAGUUUGGCAACAGUUGUGAAUAACAACACCAGAUUCUCUCCUGUGUGUCCCUGAAAUACCUGGACAUUUUCUGAAGCAAUCCCCAGUGGGACAGACACGGGCUCCUGGCUGACGUGGGAACGUCUGGCCCAUGUCGUGUGGUGUUUUCUGGGCUGGGCAAGACGCUGCUGAGCCUGGCACCUGCGAGGACCUGCCAGGUCCUGGACCUUGUCUCUGACAGCAGUCACAGGUGGCACAUGGGGGAGGACCCUGACUCUUCCUGGGGUGCUCCUACUCCUGUUGCCCCGGCUGCAGACUCUGGAUUUUUUGUGUCAGCCAUAAGAGCUCGGCAACAAGAGUGUUCACAUCCUUUCAGCAGAGACCGCUCCAGUUUGGAAACAGGUUUGAGAAAACUUCAUUUUCCCCUGAGGCUUGCUUUUCCUUGCAUGCAUCUCAGGUCUAGUUCCAUAGCCUAAGUCUUGUGCAGCUGUUUGAGCAGAAAGGGAAUUCUGGAUGUCCUCAGGGAUGGGCAAAGCUCAGGUGUGAGAGAGCUGAUGGAGCACGGGCAGCAUGGGUGCUGCUGAGGGAGUCAAGGUGUGGAAGGUGAUAGUCCAAAGGACAAUGUGGGGAGCAUCACAGAGGCUAAGGGAACACCAAGAGCUCUUUAGUAAAUAGCCAUGCUCAAGGUAAAAUUAGUAGAUAAUAUAUCAUGUACAUAUCAUAAUCAUAUCAUGUACAUAAUU